AGAGGAAGCACUCGGCCGAAGCAGCAAAUUUAUUGUGCAGUCACCUAAUGAUAGGUCGCUUGAAACAAGAAUGUUACAGGAAGGGGCCAGUGAGAUGGUUCAGUGGCUAAAGGUGCCUGAAGCCACAUCUGGCAACCUGAGUUUGAUGUGUGGGACCAAUGAGGUGGAGGGAAGAAUGACUCCUCCCACAAGUUGUUCUCUGACCUUUACAGGUAAGCCAUGCUAUGUGUGCAC
rnacentral:lncRNA from 1 species